UACGAAGGGGGCUAGCGUUGCUCGGAAUCACUGGGCGUAAAGCGCACGUAGGCGGAUUGUUAAGUCAGGGGUGAAAUCCUGGAGCUCAACUCCAGAACUGCCUUUGAUACUGGCGAUCUCGAGUCCGGGAGAGGUGAGUGGAACUGCGAGUGUAGAGGUGAAAUUCGUAGAUAUUCGCAAGAACACCAGUGGCGAAGGCGGACUCACUGGACUGGUAUUGACGCUGAGGUGCGAAAGCGUGGGGAGCAACAGGG
rnacentral:rRNA from 1 species